rnacentral:rRNA from 1 species
GAUGAACGCUGGCGGCGUGCCUAAUACAUGCAAGUCGAGCGAACAGACGAGGAGCUUGCUCCUUUGACGUUAGCGGCGGACGGGUGAGUAACACGUGGGUAACCUACCUAUAAGACUGGGAUAACUUCGGGAAACCGGAGCUAAUACCGUAUAAUAUUUCGAACCGCAUGGUUCGAUAGUGAAAGAUGGCUCUGCUAGCACUUAUAGAUGGACCUGCGCCGUAUUAGCUAGUUGGUAAGGUAACGGCUUACCAAGGCAACGAUACGUAGCCGACCUGAGAGGGUGAUCGGCCACACUGGAACUGAGACACGGUCCAGACUCCUACGGGAGGCAGCAGUAGGGAAUCGUCCGCAAUGGGCGAAAGCCUGACGGAGCAACGCCGCGUGAGUGAUGACGGUCUUCGGAUCGUAAAACUCUGUUAUUAGGGAAGAACAACCGUGUAAGUAACUGUGCACGUCUUGACGGUACCUAAUCAGAAAGCCACGGCUAACUACGUG